AUACUUGUCUUUCCAGAAGAGUACCUGUUUUCUAGAUCUGCCUUGUGGUAUUCCACCUCUUCAUUGUCUUUUUUCUACUCCCUGGGUUGUUUGCAGAAUUUUCUAAGUUGUUUGUCUUGUUUGUUUGUUUUUAUAUGUGUGAUACUAGAAUCCUUUGGCUGUCAUAAGCCUUAUACCACAUCUCAAGCUAAAUCUCUUAAGUGUAGAAAAUAAAAUGAGGGGCCAGGUGGUGGCACACCUAGUUGAGCACGUGUGUUACAAUGUGCAAGCACUUAGGUUCAAGCCUGGUCUCAUCUACAGGGGGAAAUGAUGCAGUGAAGCGGUGACCUUCCCUUCAAUUGCUCUCUAUUCAAAAAAUACAUAAGUGAAAAAUGUGACUAGCAUUACAAGGAAAAACAAGUUAUAUUGAAGAACCAUUAUUGACAACAUGAAGUUUGGGCAUCGGGCGUCUCUCCCUCUCUAUCACCCCCUUACCUCUCAAUUUCUGACUGUCUCCAGUAAAUAAAUAGAUAAUAAAAAAUAAAGAAAAAAUAAUAAAGAAAAGAAAAUAUCAAGUUUGUACAGUGAUACAUGCUUUUUUAAAAAAAACAUAUUAGGGAGUCGGGCUGUAGCGCAGCGGGUUAAGCGCAGGUGGCGCAAAGCACAAGGACCGGCAUAAGGAUCCCGGUUCGAACCCCGGCUCCCCACCUGCAGGGGAGUCGCUUCACAGGCGGUGAAGCAGGUCUGCAGGUGUCUGUCUUUCUCUCCUCCUCUCUGUCUUCCCCUCCCUCUCUCCAUUUCUCUCUGUCCUAUCCAACAACGACAACAACAAUAAUAACUACAACAAUAAAACAACAAGGGCAACAAAAGGGAAUAAAUAAAAUAAAUAUAAAAAAAA